AUUGAACGCUGGCGGCAGGCCUAACACAUGCAAGUCGAACGAGUGGCGGACGGGUGAGUAAUGUCUGGGAAACUGCCUGAUGGAGGGGGAUAACUACUGGAAACGGUAGCUAAUACCGCAUACCAUCGGAUGUGCCCAGAUGGGAUUAGCUUGUUGGUGGGGUAAAGGCUCACCAAGGCGACGAUCCCUAACUGGUCUGAGAGGAUGAUCAGUCACACUGGAACUGAGACACGGUCCAGACUCCUACGGGAGGCAGCAGUGGGGAAUAUUGCACAAUGGGCGAAAGCCUGAUGCAGCCAUGCCGCGUGUAUGAAGAAGGCCUUCGGGUUGUAAAGUACUUUAAGCUGGGAGGCGUUACCAACAGAAGAAGCACCGGCUAACUCCGUGCCAGCAGCCGCGGUAAUAC
rnacentral:rRNA from 1 species